ACGUAGGAUGCAAGCGUUGUCCGGAAUCAUUGGGCGUAAAGCGUUCGUAGGCGGUAUACCAAGUCUGAUGUUAAAGCCCGGAGCUCAACUCCGGUUCGGCAUUGGAUACUGGUAAACUAGAGUGCAAUAGAGGUAAGGGGAAUUCCUAGUGUAGCGGUGAAAUGCGUAGAUAUUAGGAGGAACACCGGUGGCGAAAGCGCCUUACUGGGUUGUAACUGACGCUGAGGAACGAAAGCCAGGGUAGCAAAUGG
rnacentral:rRNA from 1 species